GAGAUACAGUGAGAGGUGUGAUAUGAGGCCAGUAUCUGAAGAUGCUCAUGCUUCUGCUGCUCCUGGGGCCCACAGGUUCUGGGCUUGGUGCUCUCGUCUCUCAGGAUCCAAGGACAGCUGUCCGUAAGAGUGGAACCUCUGUGGUGAUCCAGUGCCAUUCGGUGGGCAUUCAAGCCACAACUGUGUUUUGGUAUCGUCAGUUCCCGGAACAGGGUCUCACGCUGAUGGCAACUUCUAAUGUGGCCUCCAAAGCUGCAUAUGAACAAGGUUUCUCUGAGACCGAGUUUUCCAUUAGCCAUCCAAAUACAACAUUUUCAUCUCUGACGGUGAUGAGUGUGAAACCUGCAGACAGCAGCCUCUACUUCUGCACCUGGAGUCACUGUGUGAACACUGAACUUUUCUUUGGAGCAGGCACCAGGCUCACGGUUAUAGAGGACCUGAAAAAGGUGAGCCCUCCCAAGGUCACAGUGUUUGAACCAUCAGAAGCAGAGAUCUCCCGGACCCUGAAGGCCACGCUCGUGUGCCUGGCUACAGGCUUCUACCCCGACCACGUGGAGCUGAGCUGGUGGGUGAACGGGAAGGAGGUGCGCGACGGGGUCAGCACGGACCCUGAGCCCUACAAGGAACAGUCCGGCGCGAAUGUCUCCAGCUACUGUCUGAGCAGCCGGCUGAGGGUCUCCGCCACCUUCUGGCACAACCCUCGGAACCACUUCCGCUGCCAGGUCCAGUUCUACGGGCUCGGGAAGGAUGACCAGUGGGACUACCCCGAGGCCAAACCCGUCACCCAGAACGUCAGUGCCGACACCUGGGGCAGAGCAGACUGUGGCUUCACUUCGGCGUCCUACCAGCAGGGGGUCCUGUCGGCCACCAUCCUCUAUGAGAUCCUGCUGGGGAAGGCCACCCUAUAUGCCAUCUUGGUCAGCGUCCUCGUGCUGAUGGCCAAGGUCAAGAGAAAGGAUUCCUGAGGCCAGCUCCAAAAGCGUAUCCUGAGUUCAUAAUCCUCACCCCGGAUUCUCCUUUACAUGCUUCCAGCCCGUGUUUCUAAAAGCGUGAUUCUCUCUCCGCCUCUUAUCUCCUUCCUGCCGGGUUAUCUGUCCCUUCGCCCCACUUCCCUGUGGAUUGAGCUCCUCAGCCCUGACACUGAAAGAGACUAAAACAAUAAAAAGCAUCGUGCCAGGCCUGGCUGUGU